UACGUAGGGUCCGAGCGUUGUCCGGAAUUAUUGGGCGUAAAGGGCUCGUAGGCGGUCUGUUGCGUCGGGAGUGAAAACUUACAGCUUAACUGUGAGCGUGCUUUCGAUACGGGCAGACUUGAGGCAUUCAGGGGAGAACGGAAUUCCUGGUGUAGCGGUGAAAUGCGCAGAUAUCAGGAGGAACACCGGUGGCGAAGGCGGCAUCCCGGACCGACACUGACGCUGAGGAGCGAAAGCCAGGGGAGCAAACGGG
rnacentral:rRNA from 1 species